GUCAUGGCGUCUUUACCUCCCCUUUUCCUGGACCGGGUAUUCGCACCCGCCCGGACCUGGAGCGACCUAGACCAAGCUUUAGUUGUAAUUGGUUGGUGACUGGUCUGUCCGAAGUUAUGAUAGGCUGCUGGAAGUGUCUGUUAAGUUAACUUGCAAGGGAUGUGACGGCCACGGUUCUUUACAGUUUAUGCACAGUUUGGUUGCGCCGUAGAAAGCUAAAAAGGGGCAGAAGCUCACAUUUGAGGUUACCGGGGAAGGGUUAACUCUUUGUUGUGGAGCAGACGCUGUAAACUCUUCAAUUUUUACAGCGCCCUACCUACAAGCUGAAGCUAAUCUGAUGUCAUUUUACUCGUAUUAGUAACACCUGCGAAACACCAACAUCAAAAAUUGUGUUUAAGAAGUGUUUCUAACUCCUUGAGAGAAAGAAUUUCCUGGAAACGUGGCUACUCUCCAAGGAUUUCUCAGAGUAGAAUGCCUUCUAGAAUUCCAGUGUCCCCAUCACUUGGAACCUCAUAAGAAGGCUCUGAGAUGGAUUUCCCAAUCAAGGAUCUGAGCUGAAUCACCCCUCCUCCAUGGAAAACAAGUCAGCUCCCUCAGGGCGGGUGAUGGAAAUAGACUCGCCUUGCUAAUCUCCACCACCCUGUGAGACUAAAGUUCACCGC